rnacentral:rRNA from 1 species
CCUACGGGAGGCAGCAGUGGGGAAUUUUGCGCAAUGGGGGAAACCCUGACGCAGCAACGCCGCGUGAGUGAUGAAGGCCUUCGGGUUGUAAAGCUCUGUCCAGAGGAAAGAAAUGUGGGGCGGCUAAUAUCCGUUUCACUUGACGGUACCUCGAAGGAAGCACCGGCUAACUCCGUGCCAGCAGCCGCGGUAAU